GCUCGCUUUGGCAGCACAAAUACUAUUUGUAACGAUACAAAGAAGAUUAGCGUGGCCUCUGUCUGCGCAAUGAUGACACGCAAAUUUGUGAAGCGUUCCAUAAUAAA